rnacentral:rRNA from 1 species
UACGUAGGUGGCAAGCGUUGUCCGGAUUUACUGGGCGUAAAGAGCGCGCAGGCGGUCGGAUCAGUCGAAUGUGAAAGCCCCCCGGCUCAACUGGGGAGGGUCAUUCGAUACUGUCCGACUCGAAGGCAGGAGAGGGAAGCGGAAUUCCCGGUGUAGUGGUGAAAUGCGUAGAUAUCGGGAGGAACACCAGUGGCGAAGGCGGCUUUCUGGCCUGUUCUUGACGCUGAGGCGCGAAAGCUAGGGGAGCGAACGGGGAUUAAGAA